AUCCAGCUGACGAGUCCAAAAUAGGACGAAAGGCGCAUCCUCGAU
rnacentral:hammerhead_ribozyme from 1 species